GCCUUAGUAGCUUAGACUUUAAAGCACUGGUCUUGUAAGCCAAAGACGGGGACCACAAUCCCCCUAAGACA
rnacentral:tRNA from 1 species